rnacentral:rRNA from 1 species
UACGAAGGGGGCUAGCGUUGUUCGGAUUUACUGGGCGUAAAGCGCACGUAGGCGGAUUGUUAAGUCGGGGGUGAAAUCCUGGAGCUCAACUCCAGAACUGCCUUCGAUACUGGCAAUCUCGAGUCCGGGAGAGGUGAGUGGAACUGCGAGUGUAGAGGUGAAAUUCGUAGAUAUUCGCAAGAACACCAGUGGCGAAGGCGGCUCACUGGCCCGGUACUGACGCUGAGGUGCGAAAGCGUGGGGAGCAAACAGG